UAUGUGAUCGUCUCUCGCAUAUCAAUAAGCGGAGGAAAAGAAACUAACAAGGAUUCCCCUAGUAACGGCGAGUGAAGCGGGAAGAGCUCAAAUUUGAAAUCUUAAAGGGUUUCCCUUUACGAAUUGUAGUUUAAAGAAGUGUUUUCUGUUGAGGUUUUGGUAAAAGUUCUUUGGAAUAGGACAUCAUAGAGGGUGAGAAUCCCGUAUUUGACCUUUACUUUCAACUUUGUGAUACACUUUCAAAGAGUCGGAUUGUUUGGGAAUGCAGUCCAAAAUGGGUGGUAAAUUUCAUCUAAAGCUAAAUAUUGGCGAGAGACCGAUAGCGAACAAGUACCGUGAGGGAAAGAUGAGAAGAACUUUGAAAAGAGAGUUAAACAGUACGUGAAAUUGUCAAAAGGGAAGCGUUUGACACCAGUGUUGUUUUUCUGAAAAUCAAUUAAAGAACUGUUUAUGCUAAGCUGUUUAGACUUUAUCAGCUAAUCUGUUUAGUUUUGAGCUUUUCUUUAAUGCACUUUUCAGUUAACAAGUCAACAUCAAUUUCUUUUGCUGUAAAAAAGCUUGAGGAAGGUGGCUUGAGAUUCGUCUUAAGUGUUUAUAGCCUCUUGCCUAUGCAGUCGGAGAGAUUGAGGUCUGCAGCGUAGAUCCUUCGGGGCUAAAUGCAUUUGUGCUAAUGUUAUAGCAUUUUAUAGACAACCUGUUGACUAUGAUUUGUCUUGUAGCUUACUCGCUUAUGUUAUUUUACCUACGCUUAGGAUGUUGAGCGCAUGUCUCUCUCU
rnacentral:rRNA from 1 species